rnacentral:rRNA from 1 species
UACGUAGGGUGCAAGCGUUAAUCGGAAUUACUGGGCGUAAAGCGUGCGCAGGCGGUUCUAUAAGACAGAUGUGAAAUCCCCGGGCUCAACCUGGGAACUGCAUUUGUGACUGUAGAGCUGGAGUGCGGCAGAGGGGGAUGGAAUUCCGCGUGUAGCAGUGAAAUGCGUAGAUAUGCGGAGGAACACCGAUGGCGAAGGUAAUCCCCUGGGCCUGCACUGACGCUCAUGCACGAAAGCGUGGGGAGCAAACAGG